UUAAGUUAUUAAGGGCGCACGGUGGAUGCCUUGGCACUAGAAGCCGAUGAAGGACGUUACUAACGACGAUAUGCUUUGGGGAGCUGUAAGUAAGCUUUGAUCCAGAGAUUUCCGAAUGGGGAAACCCAGCAUGAGUUAUGUCAUGUUAUCGAUAUGUGAAUACAUAGCAUAUCAGAAGGCACACCCGGAGAACUGAAACAUCUUAGUACCCGGAGGAAGAGAAAGAAAAUUCGAUUCCCUUAGUAGCGGCGAGCGAAACGGGAAGAGCCCAAACCAACAAGCUUGCUUGUUGGGGUUGUAGGACACUCUAUACGGAGUUACAAAGGACGACAUUAGACGAAUCAUCUGGAAAGAUGAAUCAAAGAAGGUAAUAAUCCUGUAGUCGAAAAUGUUGUCUCUCUUGAGUGGAUCCUGAGUACGACGGAGCACGUGAAAUUCCGUCGGAAUCUGGGAGGACCAUCUCCUAAGGCUAAAUACUCUCUAGUGACCGAUAGUGAACCAGUACCGUGAGGGAAAGGUGAAAAGCACCCCGGAAGGGGAGUGAAAUAGAACCUGAAACCGUGUGCUUACAAGUAGUCAGAGCCCGUUAAUGGGUGAUGGCGUGCCUUUUGUAGAAUGAACCGGCGAGUUACGAUUUGAUGCAAGGUUAAGCAGUAAAUGUGGAGCCGUAGCGAAAGCGAGUCUGAAUAGGGCGUUUAGUAUUUGGUCGUAGACCCGAAACCAGGUGAUCUACCCUUGGUCAGGUUGAAGUUCAGGUAACACUGAAUGGAGGACCGAACCGACUUACGUUGAAAAGUGAGCGGAUGAACUGAGGGUAGCGGAGAAAUUCCAAUCGAACCUGGAGAUAGCUGGUUCUCUCCGAAAUAGCUUUAGGGCUAGCCUCAAGUGAUGAUUAUUGGAGGUAGAGCACUGUUUGGACGAGGGGCCCCUCUCGGGUUACCGAAUUCAGACAAACUCCGAAUGCCAAUUAAUUUAACUUGGGAGUCAGAACAUGGGUGAUAAGGUCCGUGUUCGAAAGGGAAACAGCCCAGACCACCAGCUAAGGUCCCAAAAUAUAUGUUAAGUGGAAAAGGAUGUGGCGUUGCCCAGACAACUAGGAUGUUGGCUUAGAAGCAGCCAUCAUUUAAAGAGUGCGUAAUAGCUCACUAGUCGAGUGACACUGCGCCGAAAAUGUACCGGGGCUAAACAUAUUACCGAAGCUGUGGAUUGUCCUUUGGACAAUGGUAGGAGAGCGUUCUAAGGGCGUUGAAGCAUGAUCGUAAGGACAUGUGGAGCGCUUAGAAGUGAGAAUGCCGGUGUGAGUAGCGAAAGACGGGUGAGAAUCCCGUCCACCGAUUGACUAAGGUUUCCAGAGGAAGGCUCGUCCGCUCUGGGUUAGUCGGGUCCUAAGCUGAGGCCGACAGGCGUAGGCGAUGGAUAACAGGUUGAUAUUCCUGUACCACCUAUAAUCGUUUUAAUCGAUGGGGGGACGCAGUAGGAUAGGCGAAGCGUGCGAUUGGAUUGCACGUCUAAGCAGUAAGGCUGAGUAUUAGGCAAAUCCGGUACUCGUUAAGGCUGAGCUGUGAUGGGGAGAAGACAUCGUGUCUUCGAGUCGUUGAUUUCACACUGCCGAGAAAAGCCUCUAGAUAGAAAAUAGGUGCCCGUACCGCAAACCGACACAGGUAGUCAAGAUGAGAAUUCUAAGGUGAGCGAGCGAACUCUCGUUAAGGAACUCGGCAAAAUGACCCCGUAACUUCGGGAGAAGGGGUGCUCUUUAGGGUUAACGCCCAGAAGAGCCGCAGUGAAUAGGCCCAAGCGACUGUUUAUCAAAAACACAGGUCUCUGCUAAACCGUAAGGUGAUGUAUAGGGGCUGACGCCUGCCCGGUGCUGGAAGGUUAAGAGGAGUGGUUAGCUUCUGCGAAGCUACGAAUCGAAGCCCCAGUAAACGGCGGCCGUAACUAUAACGGUCCUAAGGUAGCGAAAUUCCUUGUCGGGUAAGUUCCGACCCGCACGAAAGGCGUAACGAUUUGGGCACUGUCUCAACGAGAGACUCGGUGAAAUCAUAGUACCUGUGAAGAUGCAGGUUACCCGCGACAGGACGGAAAGACCCCGUGGAGCUUUACUGUAGCCUGAUAUUGAAAUUCGGCACAGCUUGUACAGGAUAGGUAGGAGCCUUUGAAACGUGAGCGCUAGCUUACGUGGAGGCGCUGGUGGGAUACUACCCUAGCUGUGUUGGCUUUCUAACCCGCACCACUUAUCGUGGUGGGAGACAGUGUCAGGCGGGCAGUUUGACUGGGGCGGUCGCCUCCUAAAAGGUAACGGAGGCGCUCAAAGGUUCCCUCAGAAUGGUUGGAAAUCAUUCAUAGAGUGUAAAGGCAUAAGGGAGCUUGACUGCGAGACCUACAAGUCGAGCAGGGUCGAAAGACGGACUUAAUGAUCCGGUGGUUCCGCAUGGAAGGGCCAUCGCUCAACGGAUAAAAGCUACCCCGGGGAUAACAGGCUUAUCUCCCCCAAGAGUUCACAUCGACGGGGAGGUUUGGCACCUCGAUGUCGGCUCAUCGCAUCCUGGGGCUGUAGUCGGUCCCAAGGGUUGGGCUGUUCGCCCAUUAAAGCGGUACGCGAGCUGGGUUCAGAACGUCGUGAGACAGUUCGGUCCCUAUCCGUCGUGGGCGUAGGAAAUUUGAGAGGAGCUGUCCUUAGUACGAGAGGACCGGGAUGGACAUACCUCUGGUGUACCAGUUGUCGUGCCAACGGCAUAGCUGGGUAGCUAUGUGUGGACGGGAUAAGUGCUGAAAGCAUCUAAGCAUGAAGCCCCCCUCAAGAUGAGAUUUCCCAACUUCGGUUAUAAGAUCCCUCAAAGAUGAUGAGGUUAAUAGGUUCGAGGUGGAAGCAUGGUGACAUGUGGAGCUGACGAAUACUAAUCGAUCGAAGACUUAAUCAA
rnacentral:rRNA from 1 species